GGAGGAAAAGAACUAACAAGGAUUCCCCUAGUAACUGCGAGUGAAGCGGGAAAAGCUCAAAUUUAAAAUCUGGCAGUCACUGGCUGUCCGAGUUGUAAUCUAGAGAAGUGCUACCCGCGCUGGACUGUGUACAAGUCUCCUGGGAUGGAGCAUCGUGGAGGGUGAGAAUCCCGUCUCUGACACAGACUACCAGGGCUUUGUGGUAUGCUCUCGAAGAGUCGAGUUGUUUGGGAAUGCAGCUCAAAAUGGGUGGUAAAUUCCAUCUAAAGCUAAAUAUUGGCGAGAGACCGAUAGCGAACAAGUACCGUGAGGGAAAGAUGAAAAGAACUUUGGAAAGAGAGUUAAACAGUACGUGAAAUUGCUGAAAGGGAAACACUUGAAGUCAGUCACGUUGGCCAGGGAUCAGCCUCACUUCUUUGUGUGGUGUACUUCCUGGCUGAUGGGUCAGCAUCAAUUUUGACUGCUGGAAAAAGGCUUGAGGAAUGUGGCAGCUCUGGCUGUGUUAUAGCUUCUUGUCACAUACAGCGGUUGGGAUUGAGGAACUCAGCACGCCACAAGGCCGGGUUUCGACCACGUUCGUGCUAAGGAUGCUGGCAUAAUGGCUUUA
rnacentral:rRNA from 1 species